AACAUCACCACCCACUUCCACCACCAACAUCACCAUCAAUCCUCUGCACUAUACCUAUUACAGCACACUCCAUGCUUCUACAAAUUCAUUGACAUACUUUAGUCAUUCUCAUCCAUUUCAUCACAAUCCCUCACGCAAUUCAUCAUCUUUCACUCUCACAAGAAACACCAAGACAAAGCGGCCAAACAAAUUCAAGCAAACCGACCCAACCGAAAUCUUUCUAAAAGGCUUUGUGACCAGGGGGAUUAGCGCUGCUUUCCCAAGACAGGUUUAUAUGUGAUUAUGAUCUUCAGGCUUUGCCUAACCAGGUGGGCAUUACUUUCCAAAUGUACAAAGUAUGAUUGAGUUAUUAAGCUCUAAAUGUUUCAAUGAAAUGCAAAUUGUUUAUUUAAUGUAAUGAAAACUGUUUAUCCAAUAAAAUGUUUAUGUGCACUCUGCUCUGUUUAAGGCUCGCGCAGUUAAUCAAUUGAGGUUCUCUUAUGACCUAAUACGUUGUUUGAGAAUUGUGUACACUUGUUAGUUGACUCGGUGGGUUGAUCUCCAUCGGGCUCUAACCAGAGGCGUUAUAAGGGUGCUCGGCUGGAUGUGUUCCGGAGCAUGAGAAAUAUCAGGCCUGCCUGGGUAGCGUCCCGAGGUCAAUUCAACUUGUCUGAGUUACGUCCUCAGGGCAAGUGUCAGCGGGAGACAGAGAUCCGUCGGUGGCUAGAGGUCCGGGAUCACAGCGAGUAACAGAAAGGGAGUGUGACAUGUGCGCACAAAUGAAAGAAAAUGUUUUAACAUGCUUAGAAGUACUUCUUUCAAUUUAAAACCUUCUAAGUCAUGUCAAGUAUGAUUGGAUAAACUGUCUUUAUUAAAAUAUGAAAUGUUUCAGAAAAUGCAUGCCCACUAAGUACAUUAGUACUUAGCCCAAAAAUACUUUCAAAUGUUUUCAGGUUGGCUGGCCGGUGCUGACGGGACGGAGCUGAGGCUAGAGAUAAAUUUCUAUGUUAGACUUCCGCUGUAGCAAUUACUCAUAUCAGUCUUUUGUUUUCCCAACUUAAGAUCUUCAUGUUAAAUUUCAAAUGAUAUACCUGACCGAGCUUAGACUCUUCACUACUUAAUUUAUGCCAAUGAAUGUCAGUUGUCAGAAGCAUGAAACAAAACUUGUGAUCCAAAGGGGCAUAGCCCGACUUUCUAUCCUAUUUUGGAUUUUUACAAGGUUGUUCCUUGUUUA